UACGUAGGGGGCAAGCGUUGUCCGGAUUCAUUGGGCGUAAAGAGCGUGUAGGCGGCCUGGAAGGUCAGCUGUGAAAACUCGAGGCUCAACCUCGAGACGCCGAUGGAAACCAUGUGGCUAGAGUCCGGAAGAGGCGAGUGGAAUUCCUGGUGUAGCGGUGAAAUGCGCAGAUAUCAGGAGGAACACCAAUUGCGAAGGCAGCUCGCUGGGACGUAACUGACGCUGAGACGCGAAAGCGUGGGGAGCAAACAGG
rnacentral:rRNA from 1 species